rnacentral:piRNA from 1 species
UACUUUUCAGGUACUCUCCACCUAUAAGU